GUCAUUUUGUGUUUUAUUUAUAAUGAAAUCCUGGUCAUUGAGCAUUCAAAAACCUCCUACUGUUGCCAAAUUUUUUGAAACCUCAACAUUCAGCCUUUCAGGGUCAAUAACCUACCAUGGAGAUGGAGACAAGAAAAGUGAGAAAAAGCAGGACAUCUUUUAAUGUGGAGCUGGGAAUAUUGCUUGAUGAUGAAAUUCCUGCCGAACAAAGUACCCCAAAG